rnacentral:rRNA from 1 species
GGAGUUAGCCGGUGCUUCUUCUGCGAGUAACGUCACAGAUGUAAGGUAUUAACUUACACCCUUUCCUCCUCGCUGAAAGUGCUUUACAACCCGAAGGCCUUCUUCACACACGCGGCAUGGCUGCAUCAGGGUUUCCCCCAUUGUGCAAUAUUCCCCACUGCUGCCUCCCGUAGGAGUCUGGGCCGUGUCUCAGUCCCAGUGUGGCUGAUCAUCCUCUCAGACCAGCUAGGGAUCGUCGCCUAGGUGAGCCUUUACCUCACCUACUAGCUAAUCCCACCUGGGCUUAUCCAUCAGCGCAAGGCCCGAAGGUCCCCUGCUUUCCCCCGUAGGGCGUAUGCGGUAUUAGCAGUCGUUUCCAACUGUUAUCCCCCACAAAUGGGCAAAUUCCCAGGCAUUACUCACCCGUCCGCCGCUCGUCAUCUUCAAAAGCAAGCUUUUGAAAUGUUACCGCUCGACUUGCAUGUGUUAGGCCUGCCGCCAGCGUUCAAUCUGAGCCAUAAUCAAACUCUGA